GCGGCAUGAGGCCGUACAUGUGCACUGGUUGACCGAAUCUGGCCUUUUAGCAUUUGUUAGUGGAGAAGAAAACACUGAACAUCCAGAAUAUGUGACGUCCUAAAACACACACGUUCACAUGUUGCUUGAGACUGAAGCUUUUUUCUUCAGAUGUCAUCAUCUAGUUUUCCUCUCUUGGUUCCACAUAUUCCGUGCAUGUCUGUUUGUACACGCUCAAGUGACCGUGUGCGGUGCAACCCAACACCGUGUACAGUGAUAUGCAAGGUCAAUUUGCACCUCUCGCAGCCUGAGUGACACCGGGGAGUGUAAGAUACGCCCAGGAGCUCCUCACAGGCAGGUCACAGUACGUACAGUACAACCCAGCUCUAAUGUGCACUUUAUUUACGUAUUUAAACUUUAUUUAUAACCUCACUGAGUGUCCUGUUCACGAUAGCAAUACUUAAAUGUAGUUUUUAAGUACUUUUGAUGCUACCUUACAUAGGGAAUACUGCAGUUUUAAUUCCACUACAAUUAUCGGACCUUGGUAAAGAUUAAUCCAGCGGUUUCCCUCUCAACAUUAACUGAAGCCUCUCGUCACAUGUCUCAGUCGACUGGGUCGUCAGGUGGUGUCCACAGCAGCCAUUUUGGGUCAUGGUGAACCAGCAGGUGAGCACAGAUGUUACUGAUCUCAUCCAUUACGGCUCUGCUCUGUUCAACUGAUCGACCUGAUCCGUUACGCCUGUGUUCUUUCUGAUGAUACUCCCGUGCAUUUACUUCAAUAGGACAUCAAAUGUAUUUUCAAUUGAAUAUUUCUACUCUGUGGUCAGCGUGUGGAAGUAAAGUAAAUCAAGAAUCUGAAUCCCUCCUCUGCCACGAGGGGCAGGAGCAGUCAUGGGACCUCCUCCACCUGCUGCAGCGUAAAUCCAACACACCUCUUUUCAACAUGGCGGCCGGUUCAAAGUGCUUUCACCUGAAGCUGCGGCUCCUUCUCUGACCUUUAGUAACCGGGAUGAUUCUGCAGCCGUCACCAGUUUGAUAACGUGUUAAAGUCGAAGCGGUGCGUCCGAACUUGUUGCUUCAGCUUUGUGCAGAGAAUGAUUGUGUCAAUGCCACAUUUUUGCUUUCAACUCUUUACAAACAAUUAACUUCCUGCAGAGGACGACAGCUGCUAUUCACCGACUCCCCAACCCGCCACUGAAACCUGUUUUCGCUCCACAGAGGCCUGCGGAGCUUUCAUGUGCCAAGCUCAGACGCCGGGGUGUGAAGGGACAGGCCUUCAGUGACACCAAACCCACAUCUGACACCUGAUAAGGAGCCGGAGCGCGGCAUGGACACCAGCAGGCGUGGAGCCAAAGAUACUCGGUGGCGGCACAUUCACGAUGAGGCCUGAGAGUGCUGAGAGAGGCAGUCGAUGCAGAGAUGAACCAGCGCUGCAGCAAAGAGGGUCAGUAAGUUUACAGCCGAAGGAGGGAGGGAAGGAUUUCUACCUCACACACAUGCACACAGACGUGAGCACAGAGAGGAGAGAAGAGCCAGUGUGUCAUCGGGAGAUGGUUUAUUUUUAAACCUGGGAGAACAUGUUACAAAUAUGAUAUCUGUGCUUUUGCAGGGUUUAGAAUAUAAAGUAAAAGUAGAGUUCUUGUUGCUGGAUUCAUAUCUUUAUUCAGUUUGGUUUGUAAUUUGCAGAUUACAAAAGGCCUCUUGUCUUUUGCAGGUGGUUAAACAUUCCCACCACAAUGGAUUAGUUCCUGGUAUUUAAAGGAAAAUGACCGUAAAGACCAAACAGAAGAGCAAAAUUAAUCUUUAACAGAGCCUGUGGCAUCUCAGUUUGGUUUUAAGUCUCGUACACAUGUAAAGCUGCAGUCAUUAGCACUGUGGCCUCACAGCAUGGAGGUUCCCGGUUCGAUUCCCGGGGUCUUUCUGCGCGGAGUUUACAUGUUCUCCCCGUGUCUGGGUGGGUUUCCUCCGGCUUCCUCACACAUUCCAGAGAAUUCUUAGUAGGAGACCAUAAGUGUAACUGGUUGUUUGUCCCUGUGUCUUGGUCCAGUGAUUCUCUGCUUAUCACUCAUUGGCUCCAGCCCUGCACCCCCGAGCCUCAACUAUAUUUACAAUGCACUCCAACUGUUUUAAUUACUGAUUUGAUUUUUCUAAUUAUGUAUGUUUACUCACUAACAUGUCCAGAGUGUUGUGUGUGUGUGGUAUAAUAUUACAUUUAUAGUACAUGUACUUGGUGUGCGAGUAUUUGUUGUAGCUACACAUGCUUAUACUGACCUCUACUGUUUCACUGUGGCUCCUACAGCUCUCCUCCACGCACGGUUUCCUUUGAGAGAUUUUCUUUGUUUUUGACAGAAACUUCUCUCUCGAUGAUUCAGUGGCUGAAAACAUGUUGAAAACAAAAAAAAGAAAUGCAGAGAAAGUGUUUAAUUGACCUGCUUCGUGCCUGAUAAUCAUGUAGUUGUGUUUAUUACACGUUAAACGGAUUUAAAGAAGUUAAUAUAGACUUUAUUUCAACCUGCGACAUCACCAAACUAAUUUUAAGACUCUUAGGAAUAACUUUUAUUAACUUCUUGUAUCAUACAUCAUGCUGCACUUUCAUGAUCUAGUAAUACUGUGAGUAUUUUGCGUAAUAUAUCAAGUCAUGUCUUUCAAUUUGUUGUGAAGGUUCUGAAAACAAAUCCACCAACUCUGCUCAUGAGGCUCUUAUAGUGAACUUAAUUAUAAUAACUAUAGUAAUAACAUUGUAAAGCGGUUUGUGUACAUUGAAAGGAACUAUAUCAAUCCAAGUUAUUAUUAUAGUAAACUUGGAUUUAUGUAGUAAUCAAGGCCACUUUACAGAAUAACAAUAACAAACACAGAAUAAAAAUAAAGUUGAAACAAGGAACUGAGGUGAAAUAAAAUCCAGACUUUUACCUGUAACGGAGAAUUUAUACAAUAAUCAUCAUUCAGAUAUCAUCAGUUUUCUAUAAAUACAUUUAAAUUAUACAACUAUACACAGAAAAAAGUCAUUAUAGUGUGUGUGUGUGUGUGUGUGUUUGUGUGCGUGAGACUACAGGGAGCUUAAUCAUUACCCGUGUCCCCGUGCAAACACACAGCAAACUGCCUAAUUAAUGGAGCGUCCAACAUUCCUGGCUUUUAUACUGGAACACAAAAGAAGCCUCUUAGUGUCUCGGCUAUAAAUCAGCUGCUGCAGUCAGUCAGUGACACACACACACACACACACACACACACACAAUGUGACAGUGAUAUUUCUGCAGCGGCCGCAGCCACGGAGGCGUCUCAGGGCAUCAACACAUUUCUCACCUCUUCAGUCAACUGCUUUUCAGGAAUUGGCUCUAACCAUGAAAUCAGGCGUGAAGGGAGGUUAACUGUUAACCAGCAGCCACGUUAGUGAGUGUGAGCCACUGGGAAAAACAACAAAAAUAGAUGGCUCCUUCAGUCAUGAUGGUAGAAUGUGCAAAUGGAUGAAAGAAGUAGACGAGAUGCGUCUGACUCACUGAAUCGUAGUUGAUCUUGUUUGAAGUGAAACUGAGUUAGUUUCCACUUUGCUUGUGCACCUGCAGUUUGAGCCUCAGAGGGUUUAAAGUGCAGUCGGGCUCGUGCAUGAUGGUUCUCUGAGUGCAGGGUGUAGUCAGAGAGUGCAUGUGGUGCAAACA